UACAGAGGUCCCAAGCGUUGUUCGGAUUUACUGGGCGUAAAGGGUGCGUAGGUGGUGAGGUAAGUCUGAUGUGAAAUCUCCGAGCUCAACUCGGAAAUGGCAUUGGAAACUACCUUGCUAGAGGGUUGGAGGGGGGACUGGAAUACUUGGUGUAGCGGUGAAAUGCGUAGAUAUCAAGUGGAACACCAGUGGCGAAGGCGAGUCCCUGGACAACUCCUGACACUGAGGCACGAAAGCUAGGGGAGCAAACAGG
rnacentral:rRNA from 1 species